UAAGGUGGCAAAUGAAAUGAUGAAUAAAAAAGAAGAAAAAUAGUUUUUUGACGACGACGUGUUCUCGUGUAACGUGUCACUGUAAACCGGAACUCAGUUUUUUGUCUCUGCGGAAAAAGAACGACAUCGUUUCAGGUUCUUCAGCACCAGUGCCCGGUAACUCAAAAGAGAACCGUUGGCGCGACUCGUGAGUAACCUGUACCUUGGAGGCAGUCAAGCAGAGAGAUGAACGAUGAUGAAGAUAGUAACAUACAAUGUCAAUGGUCUAAGACAACGCAUCUCUCAGUUCGGCUCUCUUCGCAAAUUACUCGACUCUUUCGACGCUGACAUCAUCUGCUUCCAGGAGACGAAAUUAAGAAGACAAGAACUGAAAUCGGAUUUAGUAUUGGCUGAAGGAUACGAGUCUUUCUUUUCUUGCACGCGUACUUCCGAUAAAGGCCGAACUGGUUAUUCCGGAGUAGCGACAUUUUGCCGUGUGAAUUCAGCGUUUUCAAGUAAUGAAGUGGCCCUGCCGGUGGCUGCAGAAGAAGGCUUUACUGGUGUUUUAGAUGCUUCUGGAAGUAAAAUUGUGGAAGGUCUUGAGGAAUUUGCCAAAGAUGAGCUCUGUAAGGUUGAUGGUGAGGGACGUUGUAUAAUUACCGAUCACGGUCAUUUCAUUCUGUUUAAUAUUUACGGGCCACGAGCUGGUAGUGAUGAUGUGGACAGGAUUCAGUUUAAGCAUAAAUUUUUCAAGAUAUUACAGAAAAGAUGGGAGUUUCUCUUGUGUCAAAAGAGGAGGAUAUUUGUGGUUGGUGAUCUCAACAUUGCUCCUGCUGCCAUAGAUCGCUGUGAGGCCGAACCGGAUUUUGAGGAGAAUGAGUUCAGAAGAUGGUUUAGAUCGUUGCUGGUGGAAUCUGGUGGCCCCUUUUUUGAUGUUUUCAGAGCAAAACAUCCUGAAAGAAGGGAUGCAUACACAUGCUGGCCAUCUAAUACAGGUGCAGAGCAAUUUAAUUAUGGGACAAGAAUUGACCAUAUUCUCUGUGGUGGGCCAUGCUUACAUGAAAAGCAUGACCUGGAAGGCCAUAACUUUGUAACUUGCCAUGUUAAGGAGUGUGACAUACUGGUAGAGUAUAAACGGUGGAAACCUGGAAAUACAUUGGGAACUAGGUGGAAAGGAGGGAUGAAUAUCAAAUUAGAAGGUUCAGACCAUGCUCCUGUUUAUACGAGUUUUGGUGAAGUUCCUGUUAUUCCUGAACAUAGCACUCCAUCUUUAGCUUCUAGAUACCUACCCAUGAUCCGUGGUCUCCAACAAACCCUUGUGUCUGUGUUAAUGAAAAGAGAGGUUGCUAAAGAAACUAAAUCUGGCGAGGCCUCAAGCUCACUUACUACCGAAAUGACGAAAAUGGAGCGUUUCAGUGAGAGUGUUGAAAGAUCCUUUAACAACUGCCAUGAACUGGGAAUGCCCCCUAGUGACCACUGUUCUUUUGCCAACCAAGAACCUAAAGGAAAAUUGUGGAAAACCCAUGAGAAUCAUAGAGAUCUACCUAAGGAUGCUGUUUGCGACUCCACAAUUACAACUGGGAAUUGUAAACACAUUCAUUUAAUUCCUGGUGACAGAGCCAAUAAAAAAGCAAGAAAAAAUCAAUUUUCACAACUCUCACUGAAGUCAUUUUUUCAGAAGAGUCCAAACCCUAGGCAAGAUGUGGGCAAAUUGGUUACUGAUACCUCACUUAAUCCGGCAGAUGUCCUGGAAUCCCUUCAUGACACAACUCCUGUGGCCGAUUAUAAUAAUUGUCAUCCUGAGCUGCAUGAUGUGAAUUUGAGUCCAUGCUCACAGGAUCAAGAGGAACAAGAUGGCAAAUGUUCUCUGGACACAGAGAAAAAUAACAUUGCUUUACUUGAAUGGAAGAGGAUACAACAACUCAUGGAGAACACUAUACCUCUUUGUAAGGGCCACAGGGAACCUUGUGUUGCUCGAGUGGUGAAGAAACCGGGUCCGACAAUUGGUCGCAGAUUUUAUGUUUGUGCUCGAGCGGAGGGACCUGCUUCUAAUUCUGAAGCAAAUUGUGGUUACUUUAAAUGGGCUUCUUCAAAAUCCAAGCACAAACAAUAAUGUUGUCUCAUGGUUUGCAAGUGAAAGGUAAGUUGUCCACCCCUACCUCUCCCAAGUGUUGCCUCCUUGAUCUCACUGAGCUUCAUACUGUACUUGGUUGGGGGGAUCUUGACAUUGUAUCUUCACAGGAAUAUGCCCAUUCCACCAAUGUUUUCAGACUCAAACCAGGCCUUGACUUGGUCAAGGGGCUGGUUUGGGUCUUUCUUGGUUGGAUUGGCUGUUAAACUGGGAUAUUAGAACUGGUAAUAUACAUAUAUAUUUACUAUAUAUACCCAAAUGGAGUUGUGGUUUGGUGAUGCAUUGCAUGCUUAGCCUGCUUUACCAAUUGUUGAGACAAUGAGUCCUAACAAUUGCGAAAAUUUUUUUGAAUCAUAUUGACGUCAAUAGGUCUAUUGGACCCGGAUUGACCCAACGCAGUUCACUUGGUUCAACCACAGUAUGAAACGGUUCAAUAACUGAAUCUUUUAGAACUUCACCUAGAUUGGACUGGCCAUCAGGAUCAAAACCAUGCAUCCUACACCGACUUGCCUUCUGUUCUCUUUUCUUAGCAUCCUGUAGUUAUCAUGUCACUCCUAAUCUUAACUAUCCAGAGGUCAUGUUCUUUAGAGAUCCCCACGGUCACAGCUGUUCUCUGAGACCUAUACUUUUUAAUUUUUUAAUGGUUGGUCUCUAAAGAAAUGUAGAAUUUAAUGGGUCUUGACCUGAAAUAUAAUUCUCGAUAUGCUUUUGAUUGAAAAACAUUUGAUUUGCCUUGAUGGGAUGGGGAUAAUGGUUGCAUGUAAUAGGAUGAAUAACAAAUGGUAUUUGCUCAAAGUGACAGAAGAAAGAACUGCCAACCUUGAGGUAUU